AAACCUCUAGUCACUGCAGCUGGACUGGGUUGGUGCUUUGUGGAUCCUGUCUUUGCUGUACCUGAUUCUGCUUCUCUGGGGUAGAUGCACUAUUUGCAUUUUAACUAAAUUCAAGUCAGUCAAACUCCAUUUAUGAAAUGCCAACUAUAUGGCAGGCAUUGUCCUCUGCACCAGGGAUACGGAGGUAACUGCGACACAAUUUCUGGCAUUUUAAGAGCAACUCCUUCACUAAGUCCCCAUUAUUUCCCAGGAGUAUGGGUGUGAGGCCAGGAAUUGCUGCAGCCAUUUCAUCACCUUGAGGAAAAACCUGCCUUACCAUGAAGACAACAUCAAGGAGGGCAGAAAGGACAACAGCCAGAAAGAAGCAGGGGCUUUGAUGACAUGGUUGAGCCAUUGAGUUAAGCCUACACUGAAGCCUGUUCUACCCCUAGGCCUUAGGCAGCUUUGGGCCACAGCGUGAGGGACCUUGGGGCUCAGGCUUUAUUCUGGGGCAGAAGGAAACCACAGAAGGUUUUCAAGGAGGGGAGUGUGCUGGCGACCUGAGUGGUGGAAGUUGCCUAUGUUGGACCAAGACCAGAACUGGGGGCCUGAGCCGAGACAGAAGAAGGGGACAAAUUUAAGGGUCACUUAGGUGACAGAAGCCAGCCUAACUGGAUAAGAGGGCAUGAGGAAGAGGACGUGCUUUGGGAAGAGUCUGAAACUCUCAGCCCGACUGCACAAAUGGAGAAGCGCUCCUUCCUCCUUCUGCCCCUGUCGCCGUCCCCGGUGAAGUCAUCUCCACUGCCAACCCCUUCACGCUCCUCUUUUGUGGAUUCAUGCCUCUGAUCACGGUUCUUCGUGAGCAUGCCUGGUCCUCCGGCGCGGGGACCACGCCCCGUCGUCUUCACGUCCCCGGGGACUAGCCUGGCGCACGGUUGGCGCGGGCUCAAGGCUGACUUGGAUUGAGUUCUUGCUGAGCUAGGCAUUAGCUGCACCCUCCUCCUGCCCCCAGGGCUUAGUCAUCUGUUUCAUAAGCAGCUUCCAAAAGCUGCAGCCCCAGUACCCGGCUUCCUUGCUGUUGGCAGGUGUCGGCCGCCCCGAGUGCCAGAAGGCCAGGGAGCCAGCCACCGGGAGCACGCUAGGGCGGGGCGGGAGCGGAGAGCAGGGCUGGCGUACAUUUACGGGGGGCGUGUGUGCUCCCCGGGAGCGCCGUGACUACACCCCUCUCCAGGAAACACAAACCAGAUCCCCGUCCUUUCUUUCUUCUCACCUGUCCUGUCUUGUGGCCAGAAGCGCAUUCAUCAGCUUUCGUGCCUCUAAAGUCUAUAGGUUUGGGGGCCACACCCUUCUAACUACCUCAGGUUUGCUCCCUGGGAUUUUUAACCCCUUCCCAGCCCACCAGGUCUGAAAUGCUUGGAUUAAUAAUUUCACAAAAUUAUUAACCUUUUAUGUCCCUUCAGAAGAGGCGUCUCAGUUUUCCUGAUGUCCGCUCCCCCACCCUGGAACUUCUCCCUCUGCUAAUUCAUCCCAUAGGAUGGUGACGGUUUGGGGGUGGUCAAGAGCCAUGUGGCACUAGGGGCAACUAGAUGCACCUUUUAGCACCUUUCCAGAGCACCCCCUCCUUAUUUAUUUAUUUAUUUUUGUAUCAGCCUCCUCUGGGCUUUACAAUGCCCCUUCCUCCUCCAACCCCAGGGUUUUCCUCAUCACCACGCCAAGAUUUCAAGGUUUUCCUCUGGUCUGUUUCGUUAUGGAAAUUUCUGGUCCCCUGCUAGCCUGUGCUUCUCGGAUGGGCUCUGAAACUCAGCUCUCAUCUGCCCCAAUGUUAUGUUGUUUUUUUCCCUGUCGCUAUGGCAGGGAUUAAGACGGGAGCCAGGGGAGGAGGGCGGAGGGAAGAGAGAGAGCAGAGAAAUGCAGAAUGACACGACGGGAGACAGCCGGAUUGGAGGGCACCGGAGCAGGAGGAAACCGGGAGAGAAAUGGGCUGACUGUGUCAAGGAAAGGAAGAGGCAUUUCUGUUUGCUUUGUUCUAUUUUGGUUUUGGUUUUUUAGUUCGAGUUUGUUUCCAGAGGGGAAGACAGAAGCAGUUAGUGCUGAAUCCUCCCCCAGUGCAGUCAUGGCUACAGCAAUCCCCCUCCCAUCCUCAGUAACCCAGAGGCAAGCUGCAGAUCCCGGAUCUAAUAAGGAAAACUCUCAAAAUAGCUUCCAGCUAAUUCACUCUAAUUCACUCAAUGAACAAGCCUUUCAGCCUUGGUCCCUGGAGUGAGAGGUCCUCAGGACCAAGGGAGAUGCCCGAGCAGGGGCCAUGCCCACACCUCCCCGUCCAGCCGAUGUCCUUAUACUCGGGACCCCAGAAUCUCUGCCUGGAUGGCCCAAGCCCACUCCCAGGGCCCGUUCCCGCGGUUCACCCUCUCAAGGUGGCCUGUUCCACCAGUGGCGGAGGAAUGGUUGCUUGGGGCUGGGCAGGAAGGACAGCACAUGGAGGUGUAGGCUGGUGUCAGGCACGUGCAUGUGGGCAAGGCCCCUGGUUGGUGGCAGGAACUCAAGGGGACAGGCCCUGAACGGGGACUGCUUCUCCCUGGCUUGCUACAUCCUGGUCUGAAGAGUCUGCGAAUUCUAAAGUCAUGCUUGGCCUUCCAGAAUGUUACAAAGGUACAUUUGUGAAGAUGCUUCUAGUGGGGGCAGAAUUGAGUUCUUUGGAUUAUUUGGUGUCUCUCAUGAUGGGGAUCUGCACCAUCUGCUAGUUGAAGACAUGAUAUUUUUUGGUGAGGGGGGAGGAAACAGGAUCCAAAAUUAAAUACAAUUUUAAUUAAAUUAAUUCAAAAUUAAAAUAGAAAUCUAUUCAAAGGGUAGCAGCCCUUCACUUGUUCAGAGAUGAUUUAUACAGCAAGCUCAGCCAUUGGAACACUGCAAGCAACAAGAAAAGGAGCAAAACCCAGCAAAACCCCCCAAAACAAGUGAAUGGACAAACAACAACCCUCAAAGCAAACAAAGCAAAAAACACUAUUCACAGCCGAAAUGAAUAUCACAGAAUUCAGCCCCUGGAGUUUAUGUAUUUACUCACGGGCAAGCCAUUCUGACCCUCCUUCAGAGCCCAUUUGUUCUUCCUAUAGGCGGACACAAUACAGGGAACAAUCUGGGUGAGGAACGUCCCAUUCCGCAGCAGAUAAGAAAGAGCACCCCAGGAGAGGAGACACUGACACUCUGCCAGGAACGAGAAGACAGGUGUCCGUUUGUGUUAAGGGCAGAGACAAAACCAGAAUAACAAGCAGAUGGAGAAGGCCAGCAUGGGA